ACAAGCCCAGAGCUCGGUCUUACUUCUACUAGCAACUACGCUUCUCGCUUCUCCGGGACGCUGCUCAGCUCGCCAAGUCCAAAGCAGCUACAACGCGUGGUGUUCUCGAUUUUAUUUUACAGAGUGAGCUUUCUGCGUUAGUUUAUGGAGGGUGACUGCUCACCUCCCCUUCCCCCUAGAGCCCUGAAGUCGGAGGGCCUGAGCCCUGGACGGUAUCUGAGGAUCGGUUCAGCAUAUCUGGCCGGAGAAAUUGGCAACAUUUGCUACGAAUAAAACCCAAGCGGUUCCAGCAGCCAUUUUGAAUUAAGUUUCCCACCCGACAAGCCCUCGUCCCUCCGCUUCACAUCCAGGACCUGGCGGAGGAAAAAGGAGCUGCGCGUGGGGGUCGGAAGCGCUGGUUCAUGUGGGUUCCUCCAAGGCGGCCGCACGAAGCCCAAGGCUCCGGGGAUCUCGGUGGCAGGCGCUCAGCUAACUUGGGGAAAGGACCUCUAUGGCUGCGGGACCGACUGUCACCAGGCUGCACCUACAGAUCCCGACCCCACGGCCCUUGGAAAGCAAGGAGGCUCCUCCUCAGUUCCUUGCACACUUCCUCUCUUCGCGGAUGGCCCCCACCGCCCCCCAAAGAAAGUUCCUUCAAAUGUUCAUGCGGUAAAGCCUUUCAUUUUGUGUCUACGGAGUGGCAAAGCAGCUAGUAUUGCGAGGGGCCUAGAUGUCGCUUGUCUCAGCCCAU